UCCGUAGGCGGUUUAGUAAGUCAGUGGUGAAAGCCCAUCGCUCAACGGUGGAACGGCCAUUGAUACUGCUAGACUUGAAUUAUUAGGAAGUAACUAGAAUAUGUAGUGUAGCGGUGAAAUGCUUAGAGAUUACAUGGAAUACCAAUUGCGAAGGCAGGUUACUACUAAUGGAUUGACGCUGAUGGACGAAAGCGUGGGUAGCGAACAGGAUUAGAUACCCUGGUAGUCCACGCUGUAAACGAUGGAUACUAGCUGUUGGGGGCAACUUCAGUGGCUAAGCGAAAGUGAUAAGUAUCCCACCUGGGGAGUACGUUCGCAAGAAUGAA
rnacentral:rRNA from 1 species